rnacentral:tRNA from 2 species
AGGCGCGUAGCUCAGAUGGUUAGAGCGCACGACUGAUAAUCGUGAGGUCGGCAGUUCGACUCUGCCCGUGCCUACCA